CAAAUGUAUUUCGGUCUCAUGUGCAUUAUUUGUAUAUUUGAUUUACGAGAUGCGGUGGGAGUAGCGCCAUAGGCAAUGCAAUGAAAGGGUUUCUUUCUCUAUUGUAUACAUGUAGAGUAAUGUUUCUGGUGCUUGUAAAACGUCUUUGAAAAGUAACAAACAGGGUGGCCGAUGCCAUAUGCAUUUUCUUGAAACAAUACAUCACCAGCACCAAUGGCACAUGCAUCAAUUGCCAGCUUCAAUGUUUUCUCAAAAUCCGGUGCUUUCAUGACUUGAGAAUUCAUGAGUAGGGGUUUAGCUCUGACAAUUUGGUAGCUAAUGUCCCAAAUAAACGUUGUCUUUUUGGACAACAAAGUAGUGAGAGCGGACACUACAUCAGAGAAAGUUUGGCAAUUUUUGGUGUUGUUACCAGCCAAACCCAGAUGUCGGGAAAUUUAUAGCUUCCAGUUGACCGGUAUUACCUGACCGUGACCUGACAACACAACAUGUGCCAAAUCAACCCUUGGCAAGAUUUACAGUCAAUUUCGCCUUUGAUAGUUUCACAAAUUCAAGUGUGAUUGGUUAUUAAGUCCCUGUCUAUAAGUGACCCUGUGACCAAAGACUAACUCUAACCCUAAGGGACUGAAGCCUUGUGAUUCCUGACUGCCUACUAGCAAACAUUCUUCAAUCCAGUCAUUCUCAGUUUCAAAGCAGUUAAUCCUGAUAAUACGUGUAAGAGUCUAAUGAAUGCUCCCUAAUGUACCUUGUGACUCAGGGUGACAAGCAUAAGAUUUGACCCGUCUCACUCCCGGCUCAUACAUGACGUGCUGAAUUGUCCCUGACAUGAAAUACGAUCCUUGGUCAGAGUGAACUUAUUCGGGUAAACCAACAAUAGUGGAAAACUUUAUCAAAGCCUUUACAAAAACUGACACAGCAAUAUUCAUGAACGGAUUUUCAUCUGAGAAUGUUAAUAGUGUUUACCAGAUGUCAAUCGUAUGGUACAAAUAUUAUAAUAUUGAGUUUUUCAUGUUUCAAAAUGCUUCUAGAAUGUGUUGUAAUAGUUCGUGAUGAUUAAUUAACAUUUUGAAGGAAAUCAUACUAUUUAGAGGUACUGAAUUUAAUUAGGAUCAUUCAUUGUUGAGUGGCAAACCUUAUUUUUAUCAUGGUCAUUUUGAGUUGGUGUCUGACAAACAUCGUAAAGGUAAUACUAUUGUUACGGAGCUAUGCUCAAAUGAUCAGGGGUGUCAUAAAAUAUGAAUAAAGUAAAAAUGAAAAUUUGGCAAUAGGUUCACAGGUUCAUAAUAACUGCUAAUAGUACUAAUAGAUGACAAUAAAACAUCAGAUAAACCCAGUCUGCGCUUACAAAGAUCACUGGUUAAUUACAUCAGAGCAAAUAUACAAGCAGCUUAACUAAGCAACUGAAUUACAGUAAAACCAUUGCUAAAACAACACUUUGAAAAGAUACCGACCAGAUGCGUAUAAUUAAGUCAAUUAACACCCGAGUCAAUUAAUUCAUGAGUGAAUACCCUGAAUAACGGGAAAUAAACACAGAGUGCCUAUCCCUAAAAUAAGUCACUUAGACCGCAAAAUAGACGAGCACGUCAGAAUAUCAAGAAGUCUUAAUCGACUAAAGACUAAAUCACGGGAGGUUGGUUAUCCAUUGAUUACCAGCGAAACUGAGUAUUACAAACCCUAGUAACUCAGUUUAAUUCAGUUCAACCAGACUAAGUCAGAAUCUUGAUAGAACAGUGUUCCGAACCCAUUAAUGACGAAACCUGAGUUUCGACCGUGACCACUCCAGUAGCAAGACAAUUGUGAACGAUUUAACAAAACCUGGAGGGUGAAGACACAAAAUUAGACCGAAGUAUAAAUAUACAGCGUGCGGACGUCGGCGGUAACAAUCUCCCCUGUGGACUGCCAGGGAAUGAAACAGAGGGGGCGCUUAGCCAACGUGUGUUUUUACAGGGCAUGUCGACUUAUUGCUGAACAACCAAAGUGGCAUACCUUUAAAGGAAACAAUUGCUCCACAUUAUAUUGCCCACAUGUGAUCAUAGCCUGGACGUUGUCUUGCGUUGAACAUGAAUAAUAUAUCUUUGCAUCAGAAGUCAGAUUUAUGCAUACAAAAUUUUGAGUUAGAGAUAAAAUGGAGUUGUCACAGUGUAUGAACAAUUAGAAUUAAAUUUGCUGCCAAUUUGCCUGAGCCUCCACACUUUAACACUUCAAUGAACUCAGCUGCCAGUUGGGUUAUGUACUGUGUAUACAGACGAAGGUUCAUCCGGACAGGAUCUCGGAUUCCCCACUAUGGGAAAGCACGUUUUGACAUUCAUAUCACUGGGUCAUCUGUGCGCCCUGGAACGAGGAGACGUCUUUUGUUUGUGAUUACACAAACAUAAUGCACUCAGAAGCUUUCUUUCGAGAUGAAGUUUGAAGACAUCGUGAAGCUCCUGGGUGACUUUGGCCCCUAUCAGAAGAGGCUAUACUUCCUACUAUGUAUCCCUGUGAUAUCAACCGGUGUGCAGAUAAUGAUGCUAGUCUUUACACUGGGAGUACCAGACUACAGGUGUGCCCUCCCAGACUGGGACAAUGACACAUACACCAUUCAGGGCGAGCAACAUGCACGUGCAGUCAACGCAGCCAUUCCUCUAUCAAAUGAAGUAGCACAACUCUACUCUUCUUGUUUCAUUAACAAUGUCAUCAAUGGCACAAGAGGAGAUGUGUUUUACACAAAUACUUCGCGAAAAUGUGAAAAAUGGGUCUACGCCACGGAUAUAUUCAGUUCAACUAUUGUCACAAAGUUUGGAUGGGUAUGCGACAUGAAGCUGACAAAGACUCAUGCCCAGACAAUGUCCAUGCUAGGACUAUUGGUUGGAAGUGUGUUGUUGUUGCCCCCGGCAGAUUUCAUCGGAAGGAAGAAGAUGUUCAUGGCAUCAAUCAUCCUGCAUAUUGUGUCCGCCAUCUCGAUAGCCUUUGUCCCCAGCUUCGCCAUCCUCAGUCUUCUUUAUUGCAUCAACGGGAUGUCCGUCAUCGCCAUCUGGGGCAACGGUUUUGUUGUAGGUGUCGAGUUGGUUGGGCCUUUAAAGCGAGUAUUGACGGGCAUCGUAUGUGAGUUUUUCUGGACAUGCGGUUCAUUCAUAACAGCUACACUGGCAUACUUCGUGAGAGAUUGGCAACACCUGCAGCUGAUAGUUUCUGUGCCAACGGUCCUGUUUCUAGUAUAUUACUGGCUUAUAUCAGAGACUUCACGCUGGCUGAUCAGUAAGAUGAAGUAUGAGGAAGCGGACCAGCUAUUACGUCAUGCUGCCAAGGUCAACAAGAAGACCUUACCCUCUGACAUAUUCAGUGAAAACAUGUUAGAACAGAAGAUAGGAACCGCUUUGGCGAAUAUUCACAAAUCCCACUUUGGCUGUACGGACACUGGUGGUGAUAUUCAACUGGUUCGUUGUUAGUAUCGGCUUCUUUGGCCUCGGCCUGAACGUGGCUAAUCUUGGCGGGAGUGUCUACACAAACUUCUUCAUUUCAUCCGUGGCUGAGCUGGUCGGCCAUGUUGCGAGCCUAUUUCUCCUCGACCGCAUUGGAAGGAAGUCUUUUCUCUGCACCACCAUGAUCCUCGGCGGGGUGUGCUGCACAGCGACCAUUCUACCUGUGCUCUAUGGCGAUGUGUCUCUGAACUGGCUGACCAUUGCCUUAGCUUUGACUGGUCGGGGUUUCGCAGUGGCAAGUUUCGACGUCAUCUGGUUGUAUUCUUCAGAACUCUUCCCUACUGUCAUCAGAAACUCGGCUCUGGCCGUUGCUAGCAUAUUCUGCAGGGUUGGAGGAACUUUAUCGCCUUACAUUGCUAACCUGGCUCUAGUGGUAUCAGGAGACUUUGGUCGGGCUGUCCCUCUCCUUUUAAUCGGUACGUCCAUGCUAUUGGCGGGAUCUGCAGCUCUGGCGUUGCCCGAAACUUGGAAAGCUCCACUCCCAGAUACUAUUGAUG